CCCCCUUCCGUAGGUGAACCUGCGGAAGGGAUCAUUG
rnacentral:rRNA from 1 species